GAGGAGAGACAGUGACCAGGAGGCUCCCUCUCAGGGGUCGUUUGGAUGGAGGUGACAAGAACGAUCAGCAUUCUUCAGGCAGCAGGCAUACAUUUUUCUGUUCUGCUACAUAAUCUUCAAAACCAUCAUUCUAAAGAGCCAUACAGCAUUUCAUUAAGUGGACACAUAAGCUUGCGGUAUGUCAGUUCCCCGACCAGGGAUUGAACCUGGGCCACAGCAGUGAAACCCCGGAAUCCUAACUACUAGGCCACCAGGGAACUCCCGGAUAGUAUUCGUUUC